rnacentral:lncRNA from 1 species
CGCGGAAAAGGGGGUAAAACGCGGAAAAGAGGGUAAAACGCAGAAAACAAACUUUGAAACUUAGCAUGACAAAAUUACUGGAUGUUGAUUGGUUGAGAGGAGUACAAUUAUUUCAUUAAUUGUACUGCAGUACAAUUAAUGAUUUUCCCAAAACAAACAAAAUGGCGGAAAGGCAUUUUAAACACAAAUGUGAAAUGAAAUUGCCGUGGUGGAACUAGAUGAAAAUACGAGCAAAAGCACCAAAUUUUGCUUGAACAAAAUAACUAAAUGAAAAUACAAACAAAAGCACCAAAUUUUGGUUGAAAGUCUGGCAGGACUGGGCUUUGGCGAGAGAAUAUGAUGUUGACAUUGAGAAGUACGUAUCAUGCAAUGUUGUCAUGCUAAUAAUAAACAAGUAAUCAUGCGAUGUUGCUCGUACAAUUAGGGAUCAAUAGUACUUGUGAUGUUUGGAAAUUUGCCAAAUUGGACUCGCCCCGGCGGCUUGUCCAAUU